ensembl:misc_RNA
GGUCACUUAGGUUCAUUUUAUCUGGUUAAUGGAUUAUUCACCUUUUGCUUCUCUACCACACAUCUUUUGAACUUUCUUCAGUCAAAGACUUUCACCCAAAAAUGAACCUGAAGAGGAAAACACCAGUCACUUU